rnacentral:rRNA from 1 species
CGCAGAGAAUAGAGGGAAGCGACUGUUUAUUAAAAACACAGGUCCGUGCGAAAACGUGGAAGUUGAUGUAUACGGACUGACGCCUGCCCGGUGCUGGAAGGUUAAGAGGACCUGUUAGGGCAUUUUUGUCCGAAGCGGAGAAUUUAAGCCCCAGUAAACGGCGGUGGUAACUAUAACCAUCCUAAGGUAGCGAAAUUCCUUGUCGGGUAAGUUCCGACCUGCACGAAUGGCGUAACGACUUCCCUGCUG